rnacentral:rRNA from 1 species
AUUGAACGCUGGCGGCAUGCUUUACACAUGCAAGUCGAACGGUAACAGGCCGCAAGGUGCUGACGAGUGGCGAACGGGUGAGUAAUGCAUCGGAACGUGCCCAGUCGUGGGGGAUAACUACUCGAAAGAGUAGCUAAUACCGCAUACGAUCUAUGGAUGAAAGCGGGGGACCGUAAGGCCUCGCGCGAUUGGAGCGGCCGAUGUCAGAUUAGGUAGUUGGUGGGGUAAAGGCUCACCAAGCCGACGAUCUGUAGCUGGUCUGAGAGGACGACCAGCCACACUGGGACUGAGACACGGCCCAGACUCCUACGGGGGGGCAGCAGUGGGGAAUUUUGGACAAUGGGCGCAGGCCUGAUCCAGCAAUGCCGCGUGCAGGAAGAAGGCCUUCGGGUUGUAAACUGCUUUUGUACGGAACGAAACGGCUCUGGUUAAUACCCGGGGCUAAUGACGGUACCGUAAGAAUAAGCACCGGCUAACUACGUG